GGUUUCCUAAAUGCCACACUUAUCGCUAACGGAACAACCACGAGCAUUGUCGGAGACCUUAGUUAAUUUUCCAGGUUUUUCUUCGUCAUCCCCUGGGAUAAUGAUUUUAUAACGUGUGCUAUAUUUGUCCUGGUGACGUUUAAAACUGAAGAAAUUCAAGGACCACGUGUUGGUGCAUAAAACUUUGGUGUCUAAGAGUCGUGGUUUCUUAGAAGCCACUCCAUCUGAAAAUCUCCUUAUGUCCUAAAUUAAGAAUAUCAAUUAAUCAAUUUGAAUACGUUAAGUUAGUAAUAAUUUUAGGUGACGAUGACAAAGUUUAAUUGGAGGUUUAAAAAAAGAAUAUCUAGACGCGAUGCUAUAAUGCUAUUCUUGUAAUUUGGGUAAACUGCGAGAUGAAUAAUUGAAGAAAAUAAAGUAAUGUUGCAACGUCCAAGUACUGUCCAGUACCACGUUCAGCUCAUGCGCAUGCGCCACCACUGGGCCGUCACGUCGGGCACCUCCCACCACUUCUCCCACCAACGAUUGAUUUUUUAUACCAUCAGGUGAAGCUCCAAAAUAUCCAUGAAGAACAUCUACCAAUAAACCAGCAGGCAUUAUAAUUUUAUGAUAUUCCCCUCCGUCGGAUCCAACGGAUGCAGUGGACGUCCACAUAGAUGAGAUCGGAGAUCUCGAAAUGAGGUGGGAACUGUUGAACUAGGACGAAGAUCGGCGGAUUCUGAACGAGGUGAAGCGAAUGCGACAGGAGAAGUAACACCAAGCCAGUGAGACGAUUCGAGGAACGGUUCCUCAACGCGAUACAAGGUACGCACAUAUUUGAAUCGUAUAGCGGAGUGUCUAGCCGAAGGGAUAUCAACCCGCCAUCCACCACCAACAGUGGCGGCGCCGACCGGUUCAACAUGGGACAUGCACACAUGCAGCUACAAAGCGAGGCGAAGCUGUAGUUCCUCAACAAGACAUAUGAAAUCGGAUGAAGCGUACAUUUACGUAAGGCCACCACUGCGCUUCCGCCUACAGCAAACCCGAGGCCGUUCUUCCAAAGACCAAAUUCGCAACCACUAGGUCGCCUCAGAGACAGAAAGACGACCGAUGAUGGCAAACCAAAAGACGACUGGCCGGCUGCGAUUCCAUACGAAGUUUCAACUGACAAGAAGAAGUUCACAUCGGACACGAUUUCCUACGAUUCAGGACAAACGACAUCUGACCGUGUACCUAGACUCCGGUAACGAGGGCAACGUCAUCUCGCCAGAAUGUGUGAAACGAAUAGGCCUGCAGACCUGUCCCCUGUACUGAGACACUAUCAGGUUUUGGAAGCGACAAGGCGGACCCAAAAAGGCAGAGCCAGCUGGCGGUGACCGUCGACCGAUGCCAGCUUACGAUGGACGAGUGUUUGGAGUGGAUCUGAUGAACGAUGGACAUACCUACAAAGAGGUUAGAGGUCAGGAAGUGACUUUGUUCUGCUCGACAGACAGCAAGCGAGACAAUCAGAGAAACCACAAGUGGACGCCUAACUGGAGCGCAAGCUUCGCCUCGGACCAGGGGCCUGUAGCACAAACUCUACAGUCCUACAAUUAAAAGGAGUGUAACUUCGAGAACAUUCGCGGGAACAGCGAAUUCAAGUGUGCCGUAUGCCUUGACUACAUGAAACCACCAAUCCGAAUGUGCGUCAUCGGUCACAGCUGCUGCAAAUCCUGCUCCAGGCGUAUGAAUCAAUGUCCUGAAUGCAGAGGCCAGAAGAGCGAUUUCAGGAACAUAAACCUGGAGAGGAUAUUUUACAAACUUGUCUUCCCUUGCCAAAAUGCGGAGUACGGCCGUGAGUUCAGUGCCAAGGGACUGGAAGUCAUGACGCACGAGGACAAGUGCGUUUAUUCAAAUCUGCCGUGUCCGUUUACUAGUUACGGGUGCACAUGGUCGGGAUUGUACACCACAAUGGAGGAUCAUUUAAGAGAGACGCAUAAUUUCAAGGAUGAUAUUGCUGAUUUUUAUGAAUUGAGGGGCCUCGACGAAGGAGCCAAUUGUUGGAGGGAGGCAUUGAAGUUCGACGGACAUUUAUUCAUAGUUUGCGUAAGAAAGACGGAAGAUAAUUUUUGGUUUGGGGUUUACUCGAUCCUCGAUACAGAUGUUACGUACCAUUAUGAUAUUAUAUUCGUAAAUUUGGAGGAUAAUACUGCGGCCAAUUAUAGCGGUACUUGCUCCACUCACAAAAAAUACGCGAGCGUAGAAUUGAACAAGCACAAUAUGCAGGCUGCACCUGGAUCGUUGAUUGAAAGUUUGAGACAGGGCAACGUUAUUAAUUACGAUAUUGAAAUCUUACGUAAAAACUCGUUAAACGAAUCAAUAUAAUGAUUCAAGUUUGUAAUAAUGAUAUUAAAAAUAAAUUGAAUGAAUUGAAAAU